rnacentral:misc_RNA from 1 species
GGCUUAGCUAACCAAAUCCUCUGUCCGUGGACCCUACCUGUGCGCCUCCCCAACCAGCGGCGCUAUUAGUCUUUACUUGGUUUCCAAGUUCACCCACCUUCUAUUUCUUCCCUCUCCCAUCUGUAACACUAAAAACAAUUCAAAAACCAAUCUUCCCUUUUGUUGCUCAUCGCCCAUCUCUGUCUCUCUCUCACUCCGUGCAUCUUCCAUAUCUAUCCAUCUCUUUCUUUACCCUUUUUUU